CUCAGACUAGGAAGGAACCAUCAUAGGUACAAACUAUUCCCUUGAAUGUGGUUGACAGUGGUAUGGCUGGGGCAGAUGGAUGGGCCACUGGGAGUGGCACCAGAUUUAUCUCUACUGCUUGUACUGGUUUUUGGAUACCUGUUCUCUUUGGAUGGAUACAUUGCUCAGCCUAGAUAUAGUAAUAGGGGCUUGGACCUUCCACAAAGCAAUGUGCCUUACCUUCUCGAAGGAAUGGAUGGGUGGCUGCUUGUUUGUUCCCAGCUGCUCAGACCUAAAAUAAUCACACAGAAGCCAUAUUAUUUGUAAUGCUGUUUUGUAAGAUGAAGGGCCAGCAUUAAAACAAUUCAAAGAGCGCAUAACAUACAGUAUCAAGAUUCUCUGUGUAUUUUCCAUCUUUAUGUGGCUUUACUUAACCUCCAUUUCUUUUAUUUUUACUUUUACUUUUUGAGACAGGUUCUCUGUAUAUCUUCAUCCAGGAACAACUCAGUAGAGCAGGCAGUCCCUGAACUCACAGAGAUCUGCCUCCCCAGUGCUGGGAUUAAAGGUGUGUGCUACCACACCUUGAACUCACAGAGCUGUCUGUCCCUGCCUCCCAGGCAUUGGGAUUAAAGGUGUGUUCCACCACACCCUGAAGUCACAAGGUCUCAGAGGACAAUCUACCUCUGGCUCCAAAGUGUUGGGAUUAAAGGAUGAAAAUCAAGCCAGAUGGCUUCCAGACUGACUAAUUCGAUGCACUCAGGAGAAGGACAAUGGACAUGAGGACAGCUUAGCAGACAACUGCCCAGUAGAAGGAACGGAAUGAGAACUCCAGGAGGAAUACCGUAACACAGCCCACAGAGAGGAGCCUGAUCCGACCUGCAACUCCCUUAGCUGCAGGGAGACUUCUGGACAAAGAGAUCCUGCUGAGAUGAGCUGACUGCAGUGUCUGCAGCUGGCUGUGGUGUGAAACCUGUUGCUUCAGAACUAAGAUACAAUCUGAACAUUUGAGUGUUCUUGGUUUAUGGGACACAGAAAUGAUUUUGAAUAAAUUAUUAAACCUAA